GCCAGACUGGCUUAGUGGUUUGAGUGCUGGACUGUGACUCUGAAGACCAGGGUUUGAUUCCCAAAUUGGCCA